rnacentral:rRNA from 1 species
CGUAGUCAACCUGUCCUUCCGAUUGGGAUAACUAGCCGAAAGGUUAGCUAAUACCGAGUACGAUCAUCGAGCGGCAUCGUUUGAUGAUGAAAGCAGUAAUGCGCGGAUGGAGGGGACUACGUCCCAUUAGCCAGUUGGUGAGGUAACGGCUUACCAAAGCUACGAUGGGUAGCUGGUCUGAGAGGACGACCAGCCACACUGGAACUGAGACACGGUCCAG